UUUUCUAGGUGGCUUUUCUGUUGUUGAACCUGCAAAUUCUUAGCCGUGACCAACCGGAUCUUGCAUCACACCAUUGGCUUACCGGAUUUCACCCAGGAGCUUCGCUGCUUCCAAACUGUUACUUGCUACCAGGUUGUGGUUAAUAACUUGGAAGAUGCUCAUGAGAUCCUUGACACUGCAAUCUCAACCGCACUGAAAGAAAGCAAACCUGUUUAUAUCAGCAUCAGCUGUAACUUGGCUGCAAUUCCUCACCAGUCACCCCACUUUCAAUUGAGUAAUCAAAUGGAGUUGCAGGCAGCAGUAGAGGCUGCAGCUGACUUCCAUGGCAACAUGAGUGUCUAAAAAUACAAGUACUAUGUGAGCAAAUUUUCUUACUGCCAAGUAAGUUUAACUGUUCACAAGGUUACCAACAACUAAGUUGUAUAAAUGAAGCAAUAUACACAAAUGAUUAAAAUAAAAUGAUUACUGAAAAUAGCAAUGCCAAGGAACACAU